rnacentral:rRNA from 1 species
UACAUGGGGUGCAAACGUUGCUCGGAAUUACUGGGCGUAAAGGGCGCGUAGGCGGCUUGACAAGUCACUUGUGAAAUCUCCGGGCUUAACUCGGAACGGCCAAGUGAAACUGUCAUGCUAGAGUGCAGAAGGGGCAAUCGGAAUUCUUGGUGUAGCGGUGAAAUGCGUAGAUAUCAAGAGGAACACCUGAGGUGAAGACGGGUUGCUGGGCUGACACUGACGCUGAGGCGCGAAAGCCAGGGGAGCAAACGGG